rnacentral:rRNA from 1 species
UAAGACGAACCGUGCGAACGUUGUUCGGAUUCACUGGGCUUAAAGGGCGCGUAGGCGGGCCGCAUAGUCAGGGGUGAAAUCCUCCAGCUUAACUGGAGAACAGCCUCUGAUACUGGUGGUCUGGAGGAAGGUAGGGGCAUGUGGAACUAAUGGUGGAGCGGUGAAAUGCGUAGAUAUCAUUAGGAACGCCGGUGGCGAAAGCGACGUGCUGGACCUUUUCUGACGCUGAGGCGCGAAAGCCAGGGGAGCAAACGGGAUUAGAUACCCCGGUAGUCCUGGCCCUAAACGAUGGGUACUAGAUUGUAGCCCUGACAUGGGGUUUCAAUCGAAGCAAAAGUGUUAAGUACCCCGCCUGGGGAGUAUGGUCGCAAGGCUG